rnacentral:sRNA from 1 species
UACCAACUGGCCUAAACAUCCCAGUCUGCAAAUGGCGGCCAUACAAAACUAUACGAGUCUAUACACCAUCAACGAACUUGGAAGAUUCUUUAGUAUCAUCAACUAUUAUCGGAGAUGCCUACCCCGUUCGUCACAUAUCCAGGCACCUAAAGUGUUGCAGGUGCAGUUCUGGUGGCUCAUCCAUAUCCUAUCGAGAACCGAUCGGAAAUUACCUUCAAUUUAUCAUCAGCAAUCACCAUGCCAGUGUCCGUCAGUCUACAGUAAAUCUAGAAAGCAUGGGCCGCUGAUUCUAAGCUUUUAAACCUGCUGGAAGAAACCACUUCGCUUGAGUGGUAGAUCAACGGUGCAGAAUCUGUUCAAGGAGCUGUCGCAGUGAACACAUCCAUACGACUGCUUAUAACCCACAAUCAAAUGAAUGAUCCGAAGGAAGGCAAAUAUCGUUUAAGGCUGCGAUGCUGUCAAUCAAAACUCCUGGUGCUUUGGGAAUGCAUGGAUCUUAAGGAGGAUCUUGAAUCAUUGGCUUUGGAGAUGAUAUACGGAAUAACGAUACGCUUGCCAAACGAAUUUUUGCAAAGACAUCGAUACAAACUUGGAUCCUGUCGUAUUCCUAGGGGAUUUUCGAAAAAUACGUCCGAUUUAAACGGCGCACUCAGCAAGCAAAAAAUGUUUUAUCUAAAGGGAAUACAGAAUUGAUCCCACUCCAUAGGACUCACCAUACUCGCCUCUUGAAAAUUAUUUGUUGCAACAAAGAACCAGUAUUCACUCUGAAUGUUCCUAGCCGUUGACAUUCAGAAUGAGUUCUGGGUUAGAAGCUGUUUAUGUCGAUAAGAUGAAACUUAACUUUAUGGUCCGAAACUAUGCCCAAAUGGAAGAUCAACCCUAGGCUUCCGGCCAGGCAAGGAUUUAUAAAAAAAAAGGAAGGAAAGCUAACUUCGGAUAAAGCCGAAGUUGUUAUACCCUUGCAG